rnacentral:rRNA from 1 species
UACGAAGGGGGCUAGCGUUGCUCGGAAUUACUGGGCGUAAAGCGCACGUAGGCGGCUACUCAAGUCGGGGGUGAAAGCCCGGGGCUCAACCCCGGAACUGCCCUCGAAACUAGGUGGCUAGAAUCUUGGAGAGGUCAGUGGAAUUCCGAGUGUAGAGGUGAAAUUCGUAGAUAUUCGGAAGAACACCAGUGGCGAAGGCGACCGACUGGACAAGUAUUGACGCUGAGGUGCGAAAGCGUGGGGAGCAAAAGGG